GAUGAAGAACGUAGCGAAAUGCGAUAAGUAAUGUGAAUUGCAGAAUUCAGUGAAUCAUCGUAUCUUUGAACGCACAUUGCGCCCCUUGGUAUUCCGAGGGGCAUGCCUGUUCGAGCGUCAUUAUAACCCUCAAGCUCAGCUUGGUGUUGGGGCCUGCUGCACUGGCAGCCCUUAAAAUCAGUGGCGGCGCCAUCUGGCUCUAAGCGUAGUAAUUCUUCUCGCUAUGGAGUCCUGGUGGAUGCUUGCCAUCAACCCCCAAUUUUUCUAUGGUUGACCUCGGAUCAGGUAGGGAUACCCGCUGAACUUAAGCAUAUCAAAAGCGGAGGA
rnacentral:misc_RNA from 1 species